GACGAACGCUGGCGGCGUGCUUAACACAUGCAAGUCGAGCGGAAAGGCCCUGCUUUUGUGGGGUGCUCGAGUGGCGAACGGGUGAGUAACACGUGAGUAACCUGCCCUUGACUUUGGGAUAACUUCAGGAAACUGGGGCUAAUACCGGAUAGGAGCUCCUGCUGCAUGGUGGGGGUUGGAAAGUUUCGGCGGUUGGGGAUGGACUCGCGGCUUAUCAGCUUGUUGGUGGGGUAGUGGCUUACCAAGGCUGUGACGGGUAGCCGGCCUGAGAGGGUGACCGGCCACAUUGGGACUGAGGUACGGCCCAGACUCCUACGGGAGGCAGCAGUGGGGAAUAUUGCACAAUGGGCGGAAGCCUGAUGCAGCAACGCCGCGUGCGGGAUGACGGCCUUCGGGUUGUAAACCGCUUUCGCCUGUGACGAAGCGUGAGUGACGGUAAUGGGUAAAGAAGCACCGGCUAACUACGUG
rnacentral:rRNA from 1 species